CGAGAUGAGUAUUCUAAGGCGCUUGAGAGAACUCUGGAGAAGGAACUCGGCAAAUUGACACCGUAACUUCGGAAGAAGGUGUGCCUUUAGUAGGUGUAGUUGUACAAACGAAGCCCAAUGAGGCCGCAGAGAAUCGGUGGCUGCAACUGUUUAUUAAAAACACAGCACUCUGCAAAGACGAAAGUCGACGUAUAGGGUGUGACGCCUGCCCGGUGCUGGAAGAUUAAAUGAUGGGGUGCAAGCUCUUGACUGAAGUCCCAGUAAACGGCGGCCGUAACUAUAACGGUCCUAAGGUAGCGAAAUUCCUUGUCGGGUAAGUUCCGACCUGCACGAAUGGCGUAACGACUUCCCCGCUGUCUCCAACAUAGACUCAGCGAAAUUGAAUUACCGGUCAAGAUGCCGGUUACCCGCGGUUAGACGGAAAGACCCCGUGCACCUUUACUGCAACUUCAGAGUGGCAUUAGGAAAGAAUUGUGUAGAAUAGGUGGGAGGCUUUGAAACUUGGGCGCCAGUCCGAGUGGAGCCAUAAUGUGAAAUACCACCCUAUUGUUUUCUGGUGUCUAACCUAGAUCCGUUAUCCGGAUCAGGGACCCUCUGUGGUGGGUAGUUUGACUGGGGCGGUCUCCUCCUAAAGAGUAACGGAGGAGUACGAAGGUGCGCUCAGACCGGUCGGAAAUCGGUCGUAGAGUAUAAAGGCAAAAGCGCGCUUAACUGCGAGACCCACAAGUCGAGCAGGUACGAAAGUAGGUCAUAGUGAUCCGGUGGUUCUGAAUGGAAGGGCCAUCGCUCAACGGAUAAAAGGUACUCCGGGGAUAACAGGCUGAUACCGCCCAAGAGUUCAUAUCGACGGCGGUGUUUGGCACCUCGAUGUCGGCUCAUCACAUCCUGGGGCUGAAGCCGGUCCCAAGGGUAUGGCUGUUCGCCAUUUAAAGUGGUACGCGAGCUGGGUUUAGAACGUCGUGAGACAGUUCGGUCCCUAUCUGCCGUGGGUGUAGGAUACUUGAGAGGAGUUGCCCCUAGUACGAGAGGACCGGGGUGAACGAUCCACUGGUGGACCAGUUGUCAUGCCAAUGGCAGUGCUGGGUAGCUAUGAUCGGAAAGGAUAACCGCUGAAGGCAUCUAAGCGGGAAGCCCCCCUCAAAACAAGGUAUCCCUGAGGGCCGUGGUAGACCACCACGUCGAUAGGCCGGAGGUGUAAGCGCAGCAAUGCGUUCAGCUGACCGGUACUAAUGGCCCGAUAGGCUUGAU
rnacentral:rRNA from 1 species